rnacentral:lncRNA from 1 species
AAACUGAGGGAAACGCAUUAAAUAUAAGAGGAGAACAACGACACAACACUACAAUGUAACACACACAGAAACGGACCAAGCAACAGACAAAAUCCCACGAGAAUAACAAAUAUAACAUCAUAACCAAAUACAUGAAUUUGGGAUAGACAAGUACCGUGACACGUCUUAUCGCAAUGUGAAUUUACACUCAAAAAUAAGAGAAAACAAACGACGCAACGUUAAAAUGUAACACAUACAGAAACGAACUAUAAUAUAACAAUGGCCAUAUUCCUGACUUGGUACAGGACAUUUUUAAAGAAAAAAAUGGCGGGUUGAACCUGGUUUUGUGGCAUGCCAAACCUCCCCUUUUAAAGCCAUGUGAAAUAUAACAUUAAGAUGACAACUCAACACUACAGGACUACAAUAUAAAUAAAUUGGAAAAUACAAUUGACAAAGAAACACACGAACCACAGCCAACAAAAGGCAACAAGUUGAAAAUUUUAAUACGCCAGAAGUGCAUUUUAUCCACACAAGAUCUAC